rnacentral:rRNA from 1 species
AGGAGAGUUUGAUCAUGGCUCAGGACGAACGCUGGCGGCGUGCUUAACACAUGCAAGUCGAGCGGUAAGGCCCUUUCGGGGGUACACGAGCGGCGAACGGGUGAGUAACACGUGGGUGACCUGCCCUCCACUCUGGGAUAAGCCCGGGAAACUGGGUCUAAUACCGGAUAGGACCACUGAUCGCAUGGUUGGUGGUGGAAAGUUUUUUCGGUGGGGGAUGGGCCCGCGGCCUAUCAGCUUGUUGGUGGGGUGAUGGCCUACCAAGGCGGUGACGGGUAGCCGGCCUGAGAGGGCGACCGGCCACACUGGGACUGAGACACGGCCCAGACUCCUACGGGAGGCAGCAGUGGGGAAUAUUGCGCAAUGGGCGGAAGCCUGACGCAGCGACGCCGCGUGGGGGAUGACGGCCUUCGGGUUGUAAACCUCUUUCGCCAGGGACGAAGAGCAAUUGACGGUACCUGGAGAAGAAGCACCGGCCAACUACGUGCCAGCAGCCGCGGUAACACGUAGGGUGCGAGCGUUGUCCGGAAUUAUUGGGCGUAAAGAGCUCGUAGGCGGUGUGUCGCGUCGGCCGUGAAACUUGGGGCUUAACUCUGAGCGUGCGGUCGAUACGGGCAUCACUUGAGUUCGGCA